rnacentral:rRNA from 1 species
AUUGGAGGGCAAGUCUGGUGCCAGCAGCCGCGGUAAUUCCAGCUCCAAGAGCGUAUAUUAAAGUUGUUGCAGUUAAAAAGCUCGUAGUUGAACCUUGGAGGCGCCGUGCCGGUCCGCUUAGGCGAGCACUGGAGGCGGCGCCUCUUUCCUCCUCCUCUUAGCAAUAAGAGGAGGACUGUUACUUUGAGUAAAUGAGAGUGUUCAAAGCAGGCGCACGCUUGAAUCUGUUAGCAUGGAAUAAUAGAAUAGGACGCAUGGUUCUAUUUUGUUGGUUUCUAGGACCAUCGUAAUGAUUAAUAGGGACGGUCGGGGGCAUCAGUAUUCAGUUGUCAGAGGUGAAAUUCUUGGAUUUACUGAAGACUAACUACUGCGAAAGCAUUUGCCAAGGACGUUUUCAUUAAUCAAGAACGAAAGUUAGGGGAUCGAAGAUGAUCAGAUACCGUCGUAGUCUUAACCAUAAACUAUGCCGACUAGGGAUCGG